rnacentral:rRNA from 1 species
ACAAGCCCUGGAAACGGGGUCUAAUACCGGAUACGAGCCUCCCGGGCAUCUGGGAGGUUGGAAAGCUCCGGCGGUGCAGGAUGAGCCCGCGGCCUAUCAGCUUGUUGGUGAGGUAACGGCUCACCAAGGCGACGACGGGUAGCCGGCCUGAGAGGGCGACCGGCCACACUGGGACUGAGACACGGCCCAKACUCCUACGGGAGGCAGCAGUGGGGAAUAUUGCACAAUGGGCGAAAGCCUGAUGCAGCGACGCCGCGUGAGGGAUGACGGCCUUCGGGUUGUAAACCUCUUU